UUUCACCACAUCUUUUUAAACGCUGCCAGAAGUCGCAAAGAAGAGCACUUAUAAAUAGCAUGACACGACUCUUGACUUUCUCUUUCUUCAACUGCGGAUGGAGGUGCUGCUCAUAAUGUCUUGUUCUUCAAAAAGUUUUCGUGAAACUGCAAGCAUCAUACACGAUGAUGGACGAACAGAACCACGUGGGCUUGGGUAAAUGGCGCCAGUGCCUAUGCGUGUGACUUAAAAAAGCUCUGCUUUUGUGGUUAAUCAACCGACAUGGUGUGGACAAAGGGAUGAUUUCACAGAAACUUGAGAGGUUUUAAGUUCUCAGUUGCAAAGGUGAUGAUCUGUUGGUGUAACUGUAAGAGAUUUGAGAGGUGAAGAUUCCCCUGGCCAUCUCAACGUGUGGUUACAGGUUCGAGUCCACAGGGUCUUCGGCUUUCCACGUGGAUGCUAAUGCAGUUAACGGCCACUAAAUUUGUUUUUUAGCACGGAGUAUGCUGUAACAUGUUCUGAAGUAUUCUCACUGAUAUUUUAUCAGUUUCAAUAAAUGUACAAAACCUGA